rnacentral:rRNA from 1 species
GGUGGUGGAUUAGUGGCGAACGGGUGAGUAACACGUGGGCAAUCUGCCCUUCACUCUGGGACAAGCCCUGGAAACGGGGUCUAAUACCGGAUACGACACACGGAGGCAUCUCCUGUGUGUGGAAAGCUCCGGCGGUGAAGGAUGAGCCCGCGGCCUAUCAGCUUGUUGGUGGGGUGAUGGCCUACCAAGGCGACGACGGGUAGCCGGCCUGAGAGGGCGACCGGCCACACUGGGACUGAGACACGGCCCAGACUCCUACGGGAGGCAGCAGUGGGGAAUAUUGCACAAUGGGCGAAAGCCUGAUGCAGCGACGCCGCGUGAGGGAUGACGGCCUUCGGGUUGUAAACCUCUUUCAGCAGGGAAGAAGCGAAAGUGACGGUACCUGCAGAAGAAGCGCCGGCUAACUACGUGCCAGCAGCCGCGGUAAUACGUAGGGCGCAAGCGUUGUCCGGAAUUAUUGGGCGUAAAGAGCUCGUAGGCGGCUUGUCACGUCGGUUGUGAAAGCCCGGGGCUUAACCCCGGGUCUGCAGUCGAUACGGGCAGGCUAGAGUUCGGUAGGGGAGAUCGGAAUUCCUGGUGUAGCGGUGAAAUGCGCAGAUAUCAGGAGGAACACCGGUGGCGAAGGCGGAUCUC